GGAAGGGUAGGAUACGUUUUUGCUUGCCCGUGGCCGCGCUAACAUUAGGCUUGGGGACUAUGGUGCAGCCAAGGAUGACUUGCCGAUCGAAACGAUGCACAAUAUGCAUCGAUCGGCGAGUUGUUCUUGGCUACAUCUUAGCUCCUGCCCCUCAUGUUAGGCCGGCAUGCGGUGGUAUGUA